CCUACGGGUGGCAGCAGUGAGGAAUAUUGGUCAAUGGACGAGAGUCUGAACCAGCCAAGUAGCGUGAAGGAUGACUGCCCUAUGGGUUGUAAACUUCUUUUAUAUGGGAAUAAAACAGGGUAUGCAUACCCUCUUGUAUGUACCAUAUGAAUAAGGAUCGGCUAACUCCGUGCCAGCCACCGCGGUUAUACGGAGGAUCCGAGCGUUAUCCGGGUUUAUUGGGUUUAAAGGGGGCGUAGGGGGGAUGUUAAGUCAGGUGGGCAAGUUUGCGGCUCAACCGUAAAACUGCAGUUGAAACUGGCAGUCUUGAGUACAGUAGAGGUGUGCGGAAUGCGUGGUGUAGCGGUGAAAUGCAUAGAUAUCACGAAGAACUCCGAUUGCGAAGGCAGCUCACUGGACUGCAACUGACACUGAUGCACGAAAGUGUGGGUAUCAAACAGGAUUAGAUACCCUUGUAGUC
rnacentral:rRNA from 1 species